rnacentral:rRNA from 1 species
AGAGUUUGAUCAUGGCUCAGGACGAACGCUGGCGGCGCGCUUAACACAUGCAAGUCGAGCGAGAACCAGUCCUUCGGGGCUGGGGACAGCGGCGAACGGGUGAGUAACACGUGGGUAAUCUGCCCUCGGCACCGGAAUAGCCCGGGGAAACCCGGAUUAAUGCCGGAUGGCCUCUCUGCCCUACGGGGCGGCGAGAAAAGGUAGCUUUGGCCUCCGGCCGAGGAUGAGCCCGCGGCCGAUUAGCUUGUUGGUGAGGUAACGGCUCACCAAGGCGACGAUCGGUAGCUGGUCUGAGAGGACGAUCAGCCACACUGGGACUGAGACACGGCCCAGACUCCUACGGGAGGCAGCGGUGGGGAAUCUUGCGCAAUGGGCGAAAGCCUGACGCAGCGACGCCGCGUGCGGGAAGAAGGCCUUCGGGUUGUAAACCGCUUUCAGGAGGGACGAAGCCACUCAGGUUAAUAGCCGAGAGGGUGACGGUACCCUCCAGAAGAAGCCCGGCUAACUACGUGCCAGCAGCCGCGGUA